ACAAGGGUGUUUUCCAAUAGAAUGUGAUCCCUCAAGGGCAUGAUUUUUGCACCAACUUUGAGAAGAUAACUUCACGCCUGAGAUACAGGGAAUAUCCUGGAGUAGAUGCCAAUAUUCAAAAAGUAGAAUCGAAAAUUAAAUCACACCAAGAAACUAACCAAUCAUGUAUACACAUCUAAUUACACUCCCCAUUUACAACAUUAACGUUGGUUAGAAAACUGUUGGCAUGAAUUUCUAUAUCAUUUGUCAAGCAGGGGCAUAACGUAGGAAGUUCUGGCUUGUGCUACGUGACGAAGGUAGACUGGUUGGAAUUUCAGAUAAAUGUUUUUUAUACCCUGAGAAAGGCGCAACAUCCCUGAAUUCCGUAAAAUUAAAUCAUACUUUUGAAAAUGUUCCCAUAACAUAUGGGGUCAAACGGCCACGAUUCUGCGAUAUUAUUCAUGUCUGACGUUUCAUUUGAAAACUAAACACGAAGUUACCCGAGAAUAAGGAAAAGAAUAAGAUUUCAG